rnacentral:rRNA from 1 species
UGAGGAAUCUUGCGCAAUGGGGGCAACCCUGACGCAGCAACGCCGCGUGAGUGAGGAAGGCCUUCGGGUCGUAAAGCUCUGUCGGGUGGAAAGAAACGUAUAGAUGUUAACAGCAUUUAUACUUGACGGUACCGCCAAAGGAAGCACCGGCUAACUCCGUGCCAGCAGCCGCGGUAAUACGGGGGGUGCAAGCGUUGUUCGGAUUCAUUGGGCGUAAAGGGUGCGCAGGCGGCGUGGUAAGUUGAGUGUGAAAUCCCGGGGCUUAACCUCGGAACUGCACUCAAUACUGCCAUGCUAGAGGAAUGUAGAGGAGAUCGGAAUUCCAGGUGUAGCGGUGAAAUGCGUAGAUAUCUGGAAGAACGCCAAAGGCGAAGGCAGAUCUCUGGGCCGUUACUGACGCUGAGACGCGAAAGCUAGGGGAGCAAACAGG